rnacentral:rRNA from 1 species
GAACGAGAAAGUCCCGCAAGGGAUGAGUAAAGUGGCGCACGGGCGAGUAACACGUGGGUAACGUUCCCUCAGGCGGGGGAUAACCUUCCGAAAGGAGGGCUAAUACCGCAUAAGACCACGGCCUCGAAAGAGGCUGAGGUAAAAGCAGGCCUCUACACGUAAGCUUGCACCAGAGGAUCGGCCCGCGGCCCAUCAGCUAGUUGGUAGGGUAACGGCCUACCAAGGCUAAGACGGGUAGCUGGUCUGAGAGGAUGAUCAGCCACACUGGAACUGAGACACGGUCCAGACUCCUACGGGAGGCAGCAGUGGGGAAUCUUGCGGAAUGGGCGAAAGCCUGACGCAGCGACGCCGCGUGGGG